UACGUAGGCAGCAAGCGUUGUUCGGAAUUACUGGGCGUAAAGGGUGUGUAGGCGGUUCUCUAAGUUUGGUGUGAAAUCUCCCGGCUCAACCGGGAGGGUGCGCCGAAAACUGGAGGGCUAGAGUGCGGGAAGGGAGAGUAGAAUUCCUGGUGUAGCGGUGAAAUGCGUAGAUAUCAGGAGGAAUACCGGUGGUGUAGACGGCUCUCUGGACCGCGACUGACGCUGAGACACGAAAGCGUGGGUAGCAAACAGG
rnacentral:rRNA from 1 species